rnacentral:rRNA from 1 species
GGUUGAUCCUGCCAGUAGUCAUAUGCUUGUCUCAAAGAUUAAGCCAUGCAUGUCUCAGUGUAAACUUUUAAACAGUGAAACUGCGAAUGGCUCAUUAAAACAGUUAUAGUUUAUUUGAUAAUCAUUUUUACAUGGAUAACCGUGGGAAUUCUAGGGCUAAUACAUGCGUAAGACCCGCAAGGGUUGUGUUUAUUAGAUUUUAAAUCAACUCUGGCUUGCCAGAUAUGUUGGAAUGAUAAUAACCGAUCGAAUCGCACGCUUCGUAGUGGCGAUAAAUCAUUCAAGUUUCUGA